CGGGGCUUAAAGUCUUGUAAUUGGAAUGAUGGGAAUUUAAACCUCUUCCAGAGUAUCAAUUGGAGGGCAAGUCUGGUGCCAGCAGCCGCGGUAAUUCCAGCUCCAAUAGCGUAUAUUAAAAUUGUUGCAGUUAAAAAGCUCGUAGUUGAAUUUCUGCUGCAUUGCUUGUGUCCCUCUGGGGUCUGUGCAUGUGGCUUUUUUCGGACGGAGUUUCUUUGUCUGAAUGUUUACUUUGAGAAAAUUAGAGUGCUCAAAGCAGGCUUUCGCCUUGAAUAGUUUAGCAUGGAAUAAUAAAGUAGGACUUUGGUUCUAUUUUGUUGGUUCUAGGUACCAAAGUAAUGGUUAAUAGGAACAGUUGGGGGCAUUCGUAUUUAACUGUCAGAGGUGAAAUUCUUAGAUUUGUUAAAGACGAACUACUGCGAAAGCAUUUGCCAAGGAUGUUUUCAUUAAUCAAGAAC
rnacentral:rRNA from 1 species